AAUUAAAAAUUUAUUUAAUUUUUAAAUUUAAAUUAUUUUAAAUAAAAAAAUAUUAUUUUUAUUAUUAUUAAGAAAAAAUAUAUUUAAUUAUAGUUUAUAGUAUUGUGAAAGAAAAUUAUUAUUUAUUUAAAAGAAAAAUUUAAUUUUUGUACCUUGUGCAUCAGGGUUAAUUAAAUAAAAAUUAAUUAUUUAAUAUUCUCGAAUUUAAAAGAGCUAAUUAAUUAUAUAUUUUAUUGUAACAUAAAUAUUUAAAAUAGUUAAUUAGUAAUGAAACGUUAUUCGUUUUUAAAUAUAUCUAGUUUUUAAAUAAAUAAAUUAAAUUUAUCUAUUAAUAAUUAAAAUUUUAAUUUUUUAAUAUUUUAUUAUUAAUAAGAAAUUUUUUUAGGGAUAAGCUUGAAAAAAAAAUAUUAAAACAAAAUUUAAUAGUUAAUAAAUUAUAGGAUUAUAAUUUUCCAUAAAUAAAAAAAUGUUAUAAUUAAUUAUUUAAUAUAUAUAAUUUUUAUUUUUGUUUAAAUUUUUUAUUUAAAUAUAAUAUUUAAUAAUUAAAUAUUAGAAAUAAUGAUUAAAUUAGUAUAAUUUAUUUUAAAAUUAAAUUUAUUAUAAAGGUUAUUUUAAGGAAUUCGGCAAAUUUAUUUUUCACCUGUUUAUUAAAAACAUGUCCUUUUGAUUAUAAUUUAAGGUCUAAUCUGCCCACUGAGAAGUUAAAUGGCCGCAGUAUUUUGACUGUGCAAAGGUAGCAUAAUAAUUAGUUUCUUAAUUAGAAGCUGGAAUGAAAGAUUGAAUGAGAAAAUGACUGUCUCAAUUUAAUUUAAUUAGAACUUUAUUUUUAAGUUAAAAAGCUUAAAUUUUAUUAAAAGACGAGAAGACCCUAUAGAGUUUAAUUUAAUUUUUUUAUAAUAAAAAAUUGAUUUAAAUCUUUUUAUUUAAAAAUUAAAUUUUGUUGGGGUGACAAAAAAAUUAAUUAAACUUUUUUUAUAUUAAAACAUUAAUUAAUGAUUAGUUGAUCCAAAUAUUUUGAUUAUAAGAUAAAAUUACCUUAGGGAUAACAGCGUAAUUUUUUUUGAGAGUUCUUAUCGAAAAGAAAGAUUGCGACCUCGAUGUUGGAUUAAAGUUUAAUUUUGGUGUAGAAGCUAAAAAUUUUAGGUCUGUUCGACCUUUAAAACUUUACAUGAUCUGAGUUUAAACCGGUGUAAGCCAGGUUGGUUUCUAUCUUUAAUAUAUUAAAAUAUUUUAGUACGAAAGGACCAAAUAUUUAUUAAAAUAAUUAAAAAUUGAAUAAUAUU
rnacentral:rRNA from 1 species